rnacentral:rRNA from 1 species
CGCCUUCAGCCCAAACAAGUAUUGAAGGUCCCGCCUGCCCAGUGAGACCACUUUAACGGCCGCGGUAUCCUAACCGUGCAAAGGUAGCAUAAUCACUUGCCCUUUAAUUAAGGGCUUGUAUGAACGGCUGAACGAGGGUGAAACUGUCUCCUAUGGCAAGUCAAUGAAACUGAUCUCCUAGUACAAAAGCUAGAAUAUAUACACAAGACGAGAAGACCCUGUGGAACUUCAAGCACACCCACUGCCACCUCUAAUUUUAAGCCCUCCCAGGACAUAAACCCACGAUAACAGUAUAAGCUUUAAGUUGGGGCAACUACGGAGACAAACCAAACCUCCAUGACCUAGGACUAACCCCCCACCGCCAGGGGGACACCCCAAACUGGCCCGUUAAAACCAUGACCCAGUAAAACUGAUCAUCGAACCAAGCUACCCCAGGGAUAACAGCGCCAUCCUCUUCAAGAGUCCAUAUCGACAAGAGGGCUUACGACCUCGAUGUUGGAUCAGGGCCCCCCAGAGGCGCAGCAGCUUCUAAAGGUCCGUUUGUUCAACGGCUAAUGCCCU